rnacentral:rRNA from 1 species
UCGAGAAUUUUCCGCAAUGGGGGCAACCCUGACGGAGCGACGCCGCGUGAAGGAAGAAGGCCUUCGGGUUGUAAACUUCUGUCACGACUUACGAACGCAUCAGGCAUAACAACCUGGUGUUGACGAAGGGUCGGAAGGAAGCCACAGCUAACUUCGUGCCAGCAGCUGCGGUAAGACGAAGGUGGCAAGCGUUGUUCGGAUUCACUGGGCAUAAAGGGCGCGUAGGCGGUUCCGUAAGCGGCAUGUGAAAUCCCCCGGCUCAACCGGGGAAGUGCGUGCCGGACUGCGGUGCUAGAGGGUGGUAGGGGGGACUGGAACUCUCGGUGGAGCGGUGAAAUGCGUAGAUAUCGAGAGGAACACCGGUGGCGAAGGCGAGUCCCUGGUCCACUUCUGACGCUGAGGCGCGAAAGCGUGGGUAGCAAACAGGAUUAGAUACCCCGGUAGUCC